rnacentral:sRNA from 2 species
GGCUUAAGCAAACCGAACACUCAUAGGCAGUGGCGGGGGAACCAAACUUUGGGGCUAAGACGCUCCUAGGGGUAAAGCGGGAAACCGCCGAGAGACUCCCUCUCGAACCCGACAGCUCACUCCGCAGGCACAGGGAGAGGUAAU